AGUGAACGCUGGCGGUAGGCCUAACACAUGCAAGUCGAACGGCAGCACAGUAAGAGCUUGCUCUUACGGGUGGCGAGUGGCGGACGGGUGAGGAAUACAUCGGAAUCUACUUUUUCGUGGGGGAUAACGUAGGGAAACUUACGCUAAUACCGCAUACGACCUACGGGUGAAAGCAGGGGAUCUUCGGACCUUGCGCGAUUGAAUGAGCCGAUGUCGGAUUAGCUAGUUGGCGGGGUAAAGGCCCACCAAGGCGACGAUCCGUAGCUGGUCUGAGAGGAUGAUCAGCCACACUGGAACUGAGACACGGUCCAGACUCCUACGGGAGGCAGCAGUGGGGAAUAUUGGACAAUGGGCGAAAGCCUGAUCCAGCCAUGCCGCGUGGGUGAAGAAGGCCUUCGGAUUGUAAAGCCCUUUUAUUGGGAAGGAAGAGCAGCAAGUUAAUACCCCGCUGUUUUGACGGUACCAAAAGAAUAAGCACCGGCUAACUUCGUG
rnacentral:rRNA from 1 species